GACGAACGCUAGCGGCGUGCCUAAGAAAUGCAAGUCGAGCGAAGUUAGAGAGCUUGCUCUCGAAGCUUAGCGGCGAACGGUCGCGUAACACGUAAGGAACCUGCCCCGAAGUGUGGGAUAGCCCCGGGAAAUGGGAGUAAUACCUCAUGUGGUCCAUCAUUGGCAUCUUUGAUGGUCUAAAGCAGCAAUGCGCUUCGGGAUGGUCUUGCGGCCUAUCAGCUAGUUGGUGUGGUAAUGGCUCACCAAGGCGACGACGGGUAGCUGGUCUGAGAGGAUGGUCAGCCGGACUGGGACUGAGACACGGCCCAGACUCCUACGGGUGGCAG
rnacentral:rRNA from 1 species